rnacentral:rRNA from 1 species
UACGAAGGGUGCAAGCGUUACUCGGAAUUACUGGGCGUAAAGCGUGCGUAGGUGGUUUGUUAAGUCUGAUGUGAAAGCCCUGGGCUCAACCUGGGAACGGCAUUGGAAACUGGCUUACUAGAGUGCGGUAGAGGGGUGUGGAAUUCCCGGUGUAGCAGUGAAAUGCGUAGAUGUCGGGAGGAACAUCUGUGGCGAAGGCGACACCCUGGACCAGCACUGACACUGAGGCACGAAAGCGUGGGGAGCAAACAGG